ACAUUAAAAUAGAUAAGAGCUGCACUGGCAUGUUUGCAUAGAAAAAUAGCUGCCCGAGAGCGUUCCAAAAAUGGCCGCCGAGUGGACUGACUUGCUAAAAACCUUUUGGUUUAAUUUAUAAUCCAUGACGUCAAACUGUAGAAGACAUCUCUUCGGCCGGCUUUGUACUCAUCCUGAAGUGUGUCCACUCGAGUCAGCCCUGCAUUUCAAACAAGAACACGAGGAUUUCACCAUGAACCCCGACAUGGAUGGUGACAUGGAAAAUCAAGUGGAAUUAGAGGAGAAGACCAGACUUAUUAACCAAGUCCUUGAGCUGCAGAAUACUCUUGAGGACCUUUCGGCUCGAGUGGAUGCAGUAAAAGAAGAAAAUCUAAAGUUAAAAUCAGAGAAUCAGGUUCUUGGGCAGUAUAUUGAGAACCUCAUGUCAGCAUCUAGUGUCUUUCAGACCACUGACUCCAAGAGCAAACGGAAGUAAGAGAGCAUCCCUCUGUCCCAAACCCCCUUCUGUAGACCCACAACCCCACGCAGUCAAACCCUUGCCAUAUCAGCUAAGUUCAAGUUUCCACUGGGAUUCAUUUGAUCCCUAUGCCACUAAAAUGGGUUACCAAAGGUGUGCGGAAGGACAAAUGAGACAGGCUAGUUUCUAAAUGUGCAUUGAAUAUGAAGUAAAAUUCCUGAAACAAUUACCUACGGCGAGCCCAGCUUAAAAUUCACAAUCGUGCCAUAAAUCGAGUAUAUGCUCUGCCAGGGGAUUGUGAUGUUGUAGAUUUCUAAUGUUUUGGAAGUAUUUUUGCUAUAGGCAUAGACCAGUGUACCUCUGCUGGUUAAAACAAUGCUAAACAAAUUCAUGAAUUAAUGCUAAAUACAAAUAAUAAAAUGUAACAACCAUGUCUUUUGUUGACAAUGGCAAAGGCCGUAUAUCCAAUCAAACGCUUUGGUAUUUUGGCACAAAUUCUCUUUGUCACUUUGUAAAUUGCCUACAACUAAUGCAAUGUUUUGCCCAGUGUUCAUGCAUCAGCCUGGUUAAAUUACACUCCUGCUGUUUAUGCAUUUUAAAAAUUGUCCAUUUUCCUAUUCACCCUGUUAGGUCAUUAAUUUUGCAUCUGCUGGCUCUGUGCAGUUCAUGAUUAUAUUAAUACAGUUAAAGGGGUCAUAACAUGCAUUUUUAUUAUUAUUUCAUUGUAUUCCUUGAGGGUCACAUAAGAUUAGGUGGUCUCGGACCGAUUGUUUUGGUGUGCAUUCGAGUGCGAUUGCCAUGUUCAUCUGAACUGAACCAUGGGAGAAAACGGACCAGGUUCUGAAACAAAUGCUCCAAACGAUCCAGGUGUGAAAACACCCUUAGGAAGCGAUUCAUGGAAUAACUUUACCUUGUGAAAGUGUGUGACUGUGUAUUUAUCACCUCAAGGCUUGCCGAAGAACACGUAUGUCCAUAUGCAGCUUUUACUGAAUGAAGAAAUAACGUUGAAUAAAAACAGACUGUUGUGGCUCCGUUUUCUGAUGUCAUGUUAGUGCAGGAAAAACGCUUGGUGACAGAAUCACUUUGGAUUACAAUCAGUAUGCGAUGAUAUGCAGCUGAGAGCAAUGAACAUUUUCAGAUCAGCUUGACGUCUUGUCAGUUCUUCAGUAAAAGAAGCUCAUUGGUCACUUGACGAGAACACAAGACCCCCCAGAGCUGGAUUUGUUUUGUUUUUUUGUUUUUAUCAGUUUCUGAAGCCAUUAACUCAGCAGGGAGCCCUGACAGUCAAGUGAUUAACAAUCUCCCACUGGCAGACCCUAAUGCACGCUUUGUCUCCCUAUGCCUGGCCGACGAUUAUGUUAAUGAAGCUUACAUCUGAAAAUCACUGGAAAAUCGGCUAGUGUGGUGCCGGCUUUAGUCUGUCUCAGAUAGAUUGACAACUUGAUUUCAAAAUGGAUUGCUUAUGUUUAAUGAUACGAAAAUAAACAAAACUAAAACUGA